rnacentral:lncRNA from 1 species
UGAUUAUUAUAACGGCGGCCCGCAGUAAAAUACAUAUUAUUAUUAUUAUUAUUAGUACUGUUUUUAUUGUGACCGUGCGCACAGAUCGUUACCACUCCGGAUCGAUGGUGGCGGCGGCAUAGGGAUAAGCGUGAGAUAAACAACAUGUGACAUUAUUGUGCACAUUACAUUCUCGACUGUUGUACGUGCACCGCACGCGGUUAAAACAAUGUAACGCGUUGCCCACCAUUCGAUUUCGUAACAGCCACAGCAGUACAUUACGUAGUGCUCGUUAUGUUAUUGUUUUCUCGAGGAUUGCGAUGCAUAUCAUCAUCGUAUCGAGACCACCGACGCUGCCGUUCGCCUGAAAUCGUUGUCGUUGGACGUCGAACCGACCGCGACCAGAGGUGGCGACGUGCACCUCCUACCAGGACACAUGCACUACCGAAGGAAAUACGUACGGUGCACGUUUUUUUCCGCUCAACGCUGCGCGUUCUCAGGCACCCUUGGGACGACGUAUCUCGGAUGUCUCAUUAACGGAGUUGUAAAAGUAAAUCUAGGGGAGCGCGAACAACUCGUCUUGUCACGGUGGGCGGGUAGUUUAAUCUGAACUGGCCCGUUGAGAUGUUAAUGUUCGUUUCCUCAGGCCGAAAAACCAACGUAGAUAUGCACACAUGUGCACGGGGACUCGCAACAGGAUAGUACAGGGUGUUCCAGGAAAAUGAAAAGUUCGAAAUAAGUAAUGACCGUCGUAGGAGAAGAAAAAAUAAGAUCCUGUAUAAUGAUAAUAUGCGUGUGUUCCGAAGAAAUCGCAAUAUAGAUCACGUCACAAGAAUGAUCGAAGGAAAAGUUAUUCUGUCGACCAUAGUGAAUUGUGUAAAAUUCAAGAAUAGGAAAUUUUGAAUCUCGCUCGACAAUUCCUAAAGUCGUAUAGCGAGUAUACGGCUGGUAUGCAGCAGUCGGCAACCUUUUCGUAGGAAAAAAAACCAUUUAUCUAAAAAGUUACACAACCAUGAUGUUCAGCUAACCAAAUUGGACUAAAUUAUUUUAUUCUUCGUUUACCCUCUCCCCCACCAACCACAAAUCAAAUUUAUUCAAAGUUCCUGUAAGUUUAGUGAACAAAUUGAAAGUAAGCCAAGCAAUUUUACUAAGGUUUGUUAUAGAUUAAGGAUGUAUUAAAAAAAAAAAAAAAAAAAAUGUUAAUUUUAUACAUAUAGAAGAAAACAUUUACGUUCAGGCCUAUUCUAAUGAGCCACGGCUUGUCACUAUGUUUUGGAUAACGUCAGUUGAUAAUUGGCACCCAGGCGAAUCCUGCUUAACGAUACGCAGGUCCUGCACACCAAAGUCGAUCCAAUUAUCUUAUAUCGCGUAUAAUAAUAACAAUAAUGAGUCUCAUCACACAGUCCUGAACUGGAACCGUUAAUCCGUCUUAGUAUUCGGUUUCGUAUAUUAUUAUGUACGUAUUUCGUAGGGUGUUCAAACAUCACUCAAUCCAUUGACAUGGCCCAACGUCCCAAAAUAUUUUACAGUUGAGUUCCGCUGAAUACAUCGUGGUUAUGUACACGAGUGUCUUUAUAUUGUGCUCUACAUUAUACGAUUCGAACAAACCGAGAGAUUAUUUAUUGAUUUCACAAUAAUAUCUCAAUAAGGUUUUCAUCGCGGAUACCAUCUCUCAAGUAUAUACAGGGUCGAAACCCUCAUUAGUAUCUCGUUAAAGCAUGGAAGCUGUACGUGAAAGAUGUUGCCGUAUUUCUCUGCGACGGAACGCAAUAACAAUUUAUCACACGGAACAGUGGAAGGAACAGCAACAAAUUUAUAUCAGAGAUUUGUGAAGCUUAAUAAUAUGUAACUGAUAAUAGCACCGAAAUAAUAUAUGUAUGAGUUACUUGAGGGUGUAUGAUAUUGUUAAAGUUAUCAAUUUCAUUUGUGUUUGAAUGUAGUAGUCAGUAACAGUCGACAGUGUAUAUUUUACAUUGUGUUGACGAACAUUACACAGAUGUUCACAUGUGACACAAGGUACGGAAAAACUUCAAUCAUAUGCUCCAAGUUCUCACUGGUUCAGAUAUCAUUACGAAUUACAACGGAAAUUUUAGAAAAAUAAAAUGUAUUGCAUUUUUCAGACAUUAGAACUAAUAAU